rnacentral:rRNA from 1 species
UACGGAGGGCGCGAGCGUUACCCGGAUUUACUGGGCGUAAAGGGCGCGUAGGCGGCUUGGGGCGUACCAUGUGAAAGGCCACGGCUCAACCGUGGAGGAGCGUGGGAUACGCUCAGGCUAGACGGUGGGAGAGGGUGGUGGAAUUCCCGGAGUAGCGGUGAAAUGCGCAGAUACAGGGAGGAACGCCGAUGGCGAAGGCAGCAACCUGGCCCACAUGCGCCGCUGAGGCGCGAAAGCGUGGGGAGCAAACCGG